CAGCGCCACGGGAAUACGGAGGGGGCUAGCGUUGUUCGGAAUUACUGGGCGUAAAGCGCACGUAGGCGGCUUGGUAAGUUAGAGGUGAAAGCCUGGAGCUCAACUCCAGAAUUGCCUUUAAGACUGCCGAGCUAGCAGGUGAGAGAGGUAAGUGGAAUUCCGAGUGUAGAGGUGAAAUUCGUAGAUAUUCGGAAGAACACCAGUGGCGAAGGCGGCUUACUGGCUCAUACUGGACGCUGAGGUGCGAAAGCGUGGGGAGCAAACAGGAUUAGAUACCCCUGUAGUCCCUGUCUCUUAUACA
rnacentral:rRNA from 1 species